UAUUAAAGGCAACGCCUGCCCAGUGAAUAAUUAAACGGCCGCGGUACCCUAACCGUGCAAAGGUAGCGUAAUCACUUGUCUAUUAAUUGUAGACCUGUAUGAAAGGCACAAUGAGGGUCUAACUGUCUCUUUUAGCAAAUCAAUUAAACUGAUCUCCUAGUCCAAAAGCUAGGAUAAACCCAUAAGACCAGAAGACCCUGUGAAACUUUAACUAAACUAUUAAACCAUAUAAUAGCUCCUUUAGGUUGGGGCGACCUUGGAAAAUAAAAAAACUUCCAAAUAUACAACUAAUUUUACCACCCAGGCCAACAAGCCCUUUUAAACGACCCAGCAAAGCUGAUAAUUGAACCAAGCUACUCCAGGGAUAACAGCGCUAUCUUCUUCAAGAGCCCAUAUCAAAAAGAAGGUUUACGACCUCGAUGUUGGAUCAGGACAUCCUAAUGGUGCAGCCGCUAUUAAGGGUUCGUUUGUUCAACGAUUAAUA
rnacentral:rRNA from 1 species